rnacentral:rRNA from 1 species
AACGAACGCUGGCGGCAGGCCUAACACAUGCAAGUCGAGCGAGGACUUCGGUCCUAGCGGCGGACGGGUGAGUAACGCGUGGGAACGUGCCCUUUGCUUCGGAAUAGCCCUGGGAAACUGGGAGUAAUACCGGAUGAGCCCUUUGGGGGAAAGAUUUAUCGGCGAAGGAUCGGCCCGCGUUGGAUUAGGUAGUUGGUGGGGUAAUGGCCUACCAAGCCGACGAUCCAUAGCUGGUUUGAGAGGAUGAUCAGCAACACUGGGACUGAGACACGGCCCAGACUCCUACGGGAGGCAGCAGUGGGGAAUCUUAGACAAUGGGGGAAACCCUGAUCUAGCCAUGCCGCGUGAGCGAUGAAGGCCUUAGGGUUGUAAAGCUCUUUCAGCUGGGAAGAUAAUGACGGUACCAGCAGAAGAAGCCCCGGCUAACUCCGUG